rnacentral:rRNA from 1 species
GGGGGCCACGCUGCACGCAGCACGCCGCGUGCGGGACGACGGCCUUCGUGGUUGUAUACUGCUUUUCUGUGGGAAGAGAACGGACGGUACCACAGGAAGAAGCCCCGGCUAACUACGUGCCAGCAGCCGCGGUAAUACGUAGGGGGCGAGCGUUGUCCUGAGUGACUGGGCGUAAAGCGCACGCAGGCGGUCGGGCAAGUUUGGAGGUGACAGUGGUCAGCUUAACUGACCAACUGCAUCUAAUACUGCGCCGACUUGAGGGGCAGAGAGGGACACGGAACUCCAGGUGUAGUGGUGAAAUGCGUAGAUAUCAGGAAGAACAGCAAAGGGCAAUGUAUGGGGUGGGAGGUGAUGCUCAGGUACUAAAACUAGAGGAGCGAACAGGAUAAGAUACCCCGGUAGUCCUAGCCAUCAACGAUGACCACUAGAUGUGCGGAGUUUUGACCC